rnacentral:rRNA from 1 species
UACGUAGGGUGCAAGCGUUGUCCGGAAUCAUUGGGCGUAAAGAGCUCGUAGGCGGUCCAUCACGUCGGGAGUGAAAAGCUGGGGCUUAACCCCAGUCCUGCUUCCGAUACGGGUGGACUAGAGGUAGGCAGGGGAGAACGGAAUUCCUGGUGUAGCGGUGAAAUGCGCAGAUAUCAGGAGGAACACCGGUGGCGAAGGCGGUUCUCUGGCUCACCUGACGCUGAGGAGCGAAAGCGUGGGGAGCAAACAGG